UAGUAUUCUAUUGCCAGCGCUUAAUUGCGCGGCGAUAAACCUUUACACACAUUGUCUAGUUUUUUUGAACUUUGCUUUGGGUGGAGUCUAACUCUGCCCAAAGGUUAUUAAACACAUUAUUUUCUAAUGUUAAACAAUUAAACCUUUAGUCAUGAAAAUUUUUUAUAAAUUAAAAAUCUUCAAAACUUUCAACAACGGAUCUCUUGGUUCUCGCAACGAUGAAGAACGCAGCGAACCGCGAUAAGUAUUGUGAAUUGCAGAUUUUCGUGAAUCAUCGAAUCUUUGAACGCACAUUGCACCCUCUGGUAUUCCAGAGGGUAUGCCUGUUUGAGCGUCAUUUCUCUCUCAAACCUUUGGGUUUGGUAUUGAGUGAUACUCUGUCAAGGGUUAACUUGAAAUAUUGAUUUAGGCAAGAGUGUACUUGAUUAGCACUGUCUUCUGAAAUAAUGUAUUAGGUUCUUCCAACUCGUUAUAUCAGUUUAGGCUAGUACUGCAGGUAGUUUAGGCUCGGCCCAAUAACAUAUACACAAA
rnacentral:rRNA from 1 species